AAUUUAUGUGAACCUGUUUGAUUGGGUACGGAGUUUAAGAAAAAAUGAAGACUUUUAUAAUUUGUGGUCCUAACAAGUCAUAAAGGGGACCAAAGUAUUUGCGUAGUUAUAAAAGCUUCUCAUUAAGGGUAGAAUUGUAAGUUCAAGUUAAAUUAUUACCAAAUUUAGAAAGGGGUCAUUCUUUUUGGAACGGACCAAAAAAGAAAUAGGUUCACAUAAAUUGGAACAGAGGGAGUAGUACAUAAUUCCUAAAUAAGAGCGGACACCUAAAAUAGACUAAUGCCGAAAAAGACCUAAAGACCGACAAAAAGCUAUGCCGCAAUUCAGCAAAACCAAGGGAAAAAAAACCCCAGUCGUCGUCUUCUUCAAGAGGACCUCCCUGCCAUUCUCUUUCUUCAUCAACCAAACGAAGAGGCCCCUCAACUGUUACCUUCUUCAACAAAGGACACAAAUUACAAAGGGAACGAUAGAGCUGGAGCUUAAAGAGCAGCAGUCAUAGAUCUUAAAAAAAAAAAGAAGCUUCUUCUUCUUCAACCUAAGUAGAAUUGACACCCAGCAAUAGCCAUGAAACUCUAGCUCAAAACCUUCAAAAACCUCCAUUAAAAUAUCAUGAAAAUGCAUCUUAAACUCAGCUGAAAUCCACCACCAAACCUCCAUUAGCACCACCACUAAAGCUCCCCGAAAACCAUCCGCAAGCUAGCGAAAAAGCCACAGCAGCCAUUGCGAGAAAUCAAAUGAAAAAUUCCAUGAACAUGAGGUGAAAAUCAGCUGGGAACUCAGUUGAAAUCUUCCUUUUAAUGCUCAAAACUAGCUUUCAAAACACCAUUAGAACCCAUGCUUUAGUCGAGUUUGAGGUUGAGGGCAAGUCGAGGUCGUCAGAUCUACUACCUGUGGUCGCCGUCGAGGCAUUCUGAGGUUCAUCGGGCUUUCUUGUUUCGCGGUUUCUAGUUGCGUUCUGGUUGUUUUCGCGGAGUCGUGUUACUAGGUCUCUGUUCUAAACUCCUAUAGUUCAAUAUCAAA
rnacentral:lncRNA from 1 species